UUGGUGGCUCUUACUCAGCUGGAACUGUAGUCAAUGAAGACCUAGAAAAGCAAGGAUGUCAUCCUUUUUAUGAAUCAGUCAUGGCGAAUCCCUUUGUUGCUGAGUCUGGCAUGCCCUUCGACACCUGUCAGCAGCCCCCUGUGGAGAGCUUUGCCAAGGGAGGUGCUGCUGAGGACUGGGAAACUGGCAGAGGCCGAGACAGAUGGGAAUGAAGGGUUUCCGACCACAGAAGUUCUCCUGCAGCUGGCGAGUGAUGCUUUGCCCAGUGACAUGACCUUGGCCCUCGCUUACCUCCUCGCCUUACCACAGGUGUUAGAUGCGAACAGGUACUUUGAGACGCAAGCACACUCAGCCCUGUCCCUCCAGCUGGCAGUGUACUACUACAGCCUCCAGAUCUACGCCCACCUGGUGCCUGGCUUCAGUGACAAGUGCCACCCUCUGUACAGAGCUGACCCCAAAGAGGUGAUCGGGAUGGUCACCAGGCACGUGACUCACUGUGGACUCAAAGCCUGGCCGGAGGCCCUGGCCCCACUCACCGCGCAGCUGCACCACUACAAUGAGCAGCUUCUGGACUUAACACAGGCACAGCUCCUGCAGGGCCUGGGGAAGGGCGUGGACGUGCAGCGCUUCACCACUGAUGACCAGUACAAGAGGGAGACCAUCCUUGGGCUGGCAGAGUAAGGGCACCUUUGUGUCUCGAGGGGCUGGGUCCGAGAUGCGCACAGACGGAGCUGUCAGAAUGCUCGUCUUAGUCCUCUGAUGACCCAUGAGUGCUGCAGCUGUCCAGAGCUUGGCCCCUCCUCCUGGCCAUAGAAGAGAUGCGUAUGUCUUUCCAAACAGCAGUAGAUGCUUGCGACUCAGCAAGUGCUGAGACUGCUGGUUGUAAAGUUCCCCAAGCCUUUGAUUCCCCUGUGCCAGGAUGACGACAUGGUAGAGGAAGUAGGAGAGGGUCAGAGACAGGUGACAUGAUUACUGAUGGACUUUUAAAAGUCAGAUUGCUGAAAAUCUCACUCUCCCAAGUACAUGUCAAUUAGGC
rnacentral:lncRNA from 1 species